rnacentral:rRNA from 1 species
ACUCCUACGGGAGGCAGCAGUGGGGAAUAUUGCACAAUGGGCGCAAGCCUGAUGCAGCCAUGCCGCGUGUAUGAAGAAGGCCUUCGGGUUGUAAAGUACUUUCAGCAGUGAGGAAGGCGGAGUCGUUAAUAGCGGCCUCGUUUGACGUUAGCUGCAGAAGAAGCACCGGCUAACUCCGUGCCAGCAGCCGCGGUAAUACGGAGGGUGCGAGCGUUAAUCGGAAUUACUGGGCGUAAAGCGCAUGCAGGUGGUUCGUUAAGUCAGAUGUGAAAGCCCGGGGCUCAACCUCGGAAUUGCAUUUGAAACUGGCAGACUAGAGUACUGUAGAGGGGGGUAGAAUUUCAGGUGUAGCGGUGAAAUGCGUAGAGAUCUGAAGGAAUACCGGUGGCGAAGGCGGCCCCCUGGACAGAUACUGACACUCAGAUGCGAAAGCGUGGGGAGCAAACAGGAUUAGAUACCCUGGUAGCUCGAUG